rnacentral:rRNA from 1 species
AACGAACGCUGGCGGCAUGCCUAACACAUGCAAGUCGAACGAAACCUUCGGGUCUAGUGGCGCACGGGUGCGUAACGCGGGGGAACCUGCCCUUAGGUUCGGAAUAACUCCCCGAAAGGGGUGCUCAUACCGGAUAAUGUCUUCGGACCAAAGAUUUAUGGCCUUUGGAUGGGCCCGCGUUAGAUUAGCUAGUUGGUAGGGUAACAGCAUACCAAGGCGACGAUCCAUAGCUGGUCUGAGAGGAUGAUCAGCCACAAUGGGACUGAGACACGGCCCAGACUCCUACGGGAGGCAGCAGUGGGGAAUAUUGGACAAGGGGCGAAAGCCUGAUCAAGCAAUGCCGCGUGAGUGAUGAAGGCCUUAGGGUUGUAAAGCUCUUUUACCCGGGAUGAUAAUGACAGUACCGGGAGAAUAAGCACCGGCUAACUCCGUG